rnacentral:lncRNA from 1 species
AGAGGAGACUUCAGGGCCCAGAGCAUGCCCGUCAGCAAAGUCUCCCCUGGCUUCUGCAGAAGAACUCUGGUCAUCCAGGUGAGGGACCACAGGCCAGCCAGCUGUUCCUUCCAGACGUCUCCAGAAACCUCUAUGAGUCCCUUGGAAGGUAACAAACUCAGACCAAGGAUUUGGUCCUUGCUUGUUGGGUGGCCAGGAAAUAACAGCUUUGCACAGGCUGCUCAAGAGGCUGCUUCUGAAGAAACCCAACAGUAGACUCUGGUGUGAAGAACAAAGACACACAGCUUGAGCCUGGGGAUGGACACCUCCCAGCAGCCCUGGCUGCCACUCACUGCUGUGCUGCAGCCUGAGAUGAGAAUACUGAUGUUCAGAGCAACCGACUGAACCCCUGGAAGUCACUCAUACUGAAAAUGGCAAAGCAGUAUCUGCCCCUGCUCUGUCCAAUGCUAACAGGACUGCUGAGGCCUCCCCUCCACCUCGCCUCAAGUUGACAUUGGGCCUGUGGAAAUAGACCUCUAAGCCAGCCUUUCUUGCUAGUUUGGUUUUAGCCUUUCUUGGACUCAGCUUUGCCAUCUGUGAAAUAUGUGAGUCAUCUAGAUAGUGUCUGAAACCUACCAGCUCCAAGUCUAUGGUCCACGGAUGGGCUGUGAGGACAAUCAAGACUGAGGCAGGUUUUCACUCAAGUCCUGGAAUAUCUGGUCAUCCUUCCAGGGUUCUUCAUGGCAGGGAAACAAAAUCAACAACUGAAGAACAUGAGGUUCAGGAGAUUUAAGUCUGAGUUCCAGUGUUGGCUUUGGGUGCCUCUAAUCAACCACAAAUCUAUCCCAAGCCCGAGGCAGGCUGGUCUUACUCAACAUUUAUGGGGUCUUGCAGGGCUUAUGAGUGAGCUCAUGUGGGUGAGCUGUGGGUACCACAGGACCAGCACAGAUUGCUCCAGCACAUUGUCCAGCCACGAGACAGAAUUUCCCUCUUACAGAUCCAUUGAAUAGCCCUGGCCUGUGGGUUUGCUGUAAAGAUGCAAAAGCCCUGAAGCAUUAUCUGCCAAACCUCAGCCCUGACCAUGGUUAGGCUGACAUCAGGGGAGGCAGCAGGAGAGGGAGAGAAAAGGGUAUCUCAUUGUGGAACUGGGGCAGUGGUGGGCAGGGGCUGAUGCAGGAGGGGUGCCAUGGCCCAACUGCUCUUCACCCACGGUCCUUACACAGACCUGAUCCUGCUAAUUCUGACUCAGCUUUCAGACUCAGCCUGCGGACACUCAAUUUUUAGUAAUAAGCAGUCUCCUCAUAAUUUACUAUAUAGCAAAAUAAAUUUUUAAAAGAUAUUAAUAGUUGGCACCAGAGUCUCUUCACUUCAUUUAUUCAUUUUUACAACAAACAUCUAUUGAGCCCCUGGGAUGUGCUUGUGCUCUUUUGGGCUGUGCAGAUUUAACGGUAAAGAUAACAAUGUUCCAGUCCUACUCAAGUUUGCAUUCUGAUGCAGAGAAAGACAAUUAUAAAUCAUAAAAUAUGUAUAAUAUCAGUUAAGGAUUGGUGCUUGGAAUAAAAUAAAGAAGUAGAGAGGGGGAAAUUGGUCAUUUUUGAUAUGAUGGUCCAAGAAGCCUACUGAGGUAACAUGUAGCAGAGAUGAUUUUUAAGGAAAUGACUUUGAUCAGCAACAUGAGAUUGGUAUUGGAAUAUCGAGGACAUAAGUAAGACACAAUAAAUCAGAAGGUGUUAAAAAUAAAGAUGGAUUCAUGACUGAGGGGUGGGGAGAAAAGAAAAAAAAGACAAAGAAUCAUGAC